CCACGGUUCGGAUUCCUCGGCGAACACUCAGGUCUUUGUCUGGGAUGUGUGCAGCAGGAUAAAUGACCACAGGCUACAUCGUUCCUUGAAAACAAAUGGAGAACUCAAGACAAGAAAAUGAUCCGUUUCUUUCCAGCCUCUGUCCCACCAGCCAGCCGGAGAGUACAAUAAGCAGUGCCAAGGGAGUCACCCACUGGCGAUGGUGGGGAAUGACGCAGCCGCCAAAUGCCCGCAGAGCGCCCGACGCGGCACACAAACUCCACUCGAACUGGUAAUGCCUUGCAAAUUGCUGUGAGAACAAAUAUGAUUAAGGUCAACAGACAAAAGAGCAGAGGCUUCGGCCCAAACAAAGGUAAGAAUUGGACCUGCCUGCAUGUUUACUGGAAGGAAGA